rnacentral:rRNA from 1 species
UACGGAGGGGCUAGCGUUGUUCGGAAUUACUGGGCGUAAAGCGCACGUAGGCGCUUUGUAAGUUAGAGGUGAAAGCCCGGGGCUCAACCCCGGAAUUGCCUUAAGACUGCAUCGCUUGAAUCCGGGAGAGGUGAGUGGAAUUCCGAGUGUAGAGGUGAAAUUCGUAGAUAUUCGGAAGAACACCAGUGGCGAAGGCGGCUCACCUGGACCGGUAUUG